AGACCCGAAACCCGGUGAUCUAGCCAUGGGCAGGUUGAAGGUUGGGUAACACUAACUGGAGGACCGAACCGACUAAUGUUGAAAAAUUAGCGGAUGACCUGUGGCUGGGGGUGAAAGGCCAAUCAAACCGGGAGAUAGCUGGUUCUCCCCGAAAGCUAUUUAGGUAGCGCCUCGUGAAUUCAUCUCCGGGGGUAGAGCACUGUUUCGGCUAGGGGGCCAUCCCGGCUUACCAACCCGAUGCAAACUGCGAAUACCGGAGAAUGUUAUCACGGGAGACACACGGCGGGUGCUAACGUCCGUCGUGAAGAGGGAAACAACCCAGACCGCCAGCUAAGGUCCCAAAGUCAUGGUUAAGUGGGAAACGAUGUGGGAAGGCCCAGACAGCCAGGAUGUUGGCUUAGAAGCAGCCAUCAUUUAAAGAAAGCGUAAUAGCUCACUGGUCGAGUCGGCCUGCGCGGAAGAUGUAACGGGGCUAAACCAUGCACCGAAGCUGCGGCAGCGAACGUAUCACCCAAGACAACUUUACGGAGUUGACGAUUGACGGAGCGAAGCGACGUCAAAGCGUUCAUUAAAGUCGAGUUGGCUUAGGGAUACGUUCGUUGGGUAGGGGAGCGUUCUGUAAGCCUGUGAAGGUGUGUCGUGAGGCAUGCUGGAGGUAUCAGAAGUGCGAAUGCUGACAUAAGUAACGAUAAAGCGGGUGAAAAGCCCGCUCGCCGGAAGACCAAGGGUUCCUGUCCAACGUUAAUCGGGGCAGGGUGAGUCGACCCCUAAGGCGAGGCCGAAAGGCGUAGUCGAUGGGAAACGGGUUAAUAUUCCCGUACUUGGUGUUACUGCGAAGGGGGGACGGAGAAGGCUAUGUUGGCCGGGCGACGGUUGUCCCGGUUUAAGCGUGUAGGUGUGUGUUCCAGGUAAAUCCGGUUCACUUUAACACUGAGGCGUGACGACGAGGCACUACGGUGCUGAAGCAACAAAUGCCCUGCUUCCAGGAAAAGCCUCUAAGCAUCAGGUAACACGAAAUCGUACCCCAAACCGACACAGGUGGUCAGGUAGAGAAUACCAAGGCGCUUGAGAGAACUCGGGU
rnacentral:rRNA from 2 species